CGAUGUUUCAGUCCUUGAGUUUAUCGACGGUCGCCCCCAUAAUCGUCGACAUGGUCGUAAUUCCGGCAAACCGGAAGCGUUCUGGACGCGGGUUCGAUUCCCGCCACCUCCACCACUGCGGGGGUGUACCGGUUUCGACAGGGUGACAGAUGGCGAGCAGGCGGCCCGAGAGGCGACGGACGUAAUCCG
rnacentral:tmRNA from 1 species